ensembl:lncRNA
CUCUCAGUCUGGCUCAGAUAGCCCCAAGAAAAAGCAGCAAAGUGAGUCAAAAUCCCCUACCAAGUCACAUAAAGCCAUUUCCAGUGUUUGUGAGGAGAGCAAUGAAGUUUUAAGGACCAGUCACGAGAAGGAAGAUGACAGCAAAGCAGAGAAACCAGAAAAGCAGGUAAACUUCAAGUAAACCUCUAGGCCUUUUCCAUGAU